rnacentral:rRNA from 1 species
UACGAAGGGGCUAGGCGUUGUUCGGAUUUACUGGGCGUAAAGCGCACGUAGGCGGAUUGGUUAAGUCAGGGUGAAAGUCCUGGAGCUCAACUCCAGAACUGCCUUUGAUACUGGCAAUCUAGAGUCCGGAAGAGGUGAGUGGAACUCCUAGUGUAGAGGUGGAAUUCGUAGAUAUUAGGAAGAACACCAGUGGCGAAGGCGGCUGACUGGACACAUAUUGACGCUGAGGCUCGAAAGCAUGGGGAGCAACAGG